CACUUAGCUCUAGAUGUGUGGUCUCAUUUCUCAGUUCUCUAUUCUGUUGCAUUGGUCUAUGUGUCUGUUUUGGUACCAGUACCAUGCUGUUUUGGUUUCU